CUAAAAUUAAAUUCUUUCAGUAUACUUUCUUUCGUCGUCGAUUCACAGUUCUGUAUUCUAAAACGUAUUCAUCGUAUGCCAGGAGCUAAUUCGAAUGUGAGAUAAAAGUAUACAACGCGGCGGAAGAAAAUGCGAAUGAAUAGCCGGUCGGGAACGAACGAUACACACAGCAGCCCACGACCGUUCGUUGCCCACGCUGUACACUGUGUUCAUACGCGGGUUUCGCGUUCGCGUAUGUUCCAGACUCUCCACACACUUCAUCGUGAGUUUCGUUCGGCCCGUUGGCCAAGAACAGAGAUCGAGUCGCGUUAGGAUAUUCGGAAAACACGAAAUAUUAAUAAAAAAAAAAGUUUUUUUUCUCUUAACCUCAAAAUAAGGGAGGGAAAACAGAUUUCGCGAUGUUGAUUCGUAAUUUUUUCAUCAGUUAUUUGUUUUUCUACCUCGUCAGUUGUUCGGUUUCCUUCAAAUCACCGCAAUCCGCGCUUGUAAUCGGAUUCGAAAAAUCUUACGAACAAUCCCUGCUCGCCCACACACUUUUCCAACAAGGCAUCGAGUCCACACUCAUCGUUACCGCCGGUGCACAUCUGUACGAAAAUCUGCAGGGCAUCGAAGUCUUGAAAUUGAACACAAAUGAUAAUCCCUCGGCUGAUAAAGCAGCUCUCAAUGCUUGCGAAAAUUUAUUGACGGAUGAAAAUAUUCUCAAAAGAGUUCGAGAGAUUCAACCGACCUUCGUCAUCUUCCCAGCACUCAGACACGACGCUUGUUUGCUGCCAUGGGUUCAGUUCAUCAAUUCCAUUCCGGUUAUCGCGACCUAUGGCCCCGAAGAAGAUUUGUACUCGGUGCAGCGAACUUCGAUUGCUCUGCCGAUUCACACGGGCGGCCUCUGGGCAGGAUUUUGGGCGAACGCUGACUCGAGCUCGAUUAUCGCCAACACGAACAAUGCCUACGUGACUCCAGCUCUGAAAUUGAUCAAGGAACGUUUACCGGAAUCGGAAAUCGACUUUGAUAAGCUUUACUCCAAAGUCGAUCUCAUUCUGAGCUCGAGCGAUCCGAUUUUGCGUUCAGAUUUUGCACAGCUAGGACAACAACCCGUCCGUAUUGGUUGUCACCACUGCCGAGGCGCUCAUCCCCUGCCUCCGGCGUUGCAGAAAGAAUUGGUUGAAUUUCGCCUGGGAACUGUAGUUGCGACCCUCGACGAAAGUUUCGCUCCGAUCAUCGAAGAAUUAGCUCGAAAUUUGCCUCAAGGUAGGCAAGGCUUGGCGAUAGCUUGGAAAAAUUCCGAUGUCAAGCUCGAGGAGGAAAAGAAGCCCGAAAAUUUAUUUGUUCAUGGUGAAGUCGAUCGACAAGAUUUAAUAGGAUACGCGAGAACGAGAGUUCUCUUGAGUCAUUGUCCAGAGUCCGAGCUUCUCGAAGCGGUGUUCCACGGAACCCCGAUAAUAUGUUUCCCACGAGAUUUUUACGAGCGCUCGAACGAGAAGCAGGCGAUAGAAUUGGGAUUUGCGAGUCCGAGGAGCGACGGGACGACGAGUAUCAACGCGAUUGUCACGGCCGUAGAGCUCGUCCACAAGUCAACAGGUUAUCGAGAGGUGGCGAGAAGUUUUUCCUCCAUAAUUCGUGACAGACCAUUGCCCGCUUCGGAUAGUCUCGUUUAUUGGCUCGGCUACGUGGCGAGGAAUGCUGAGAGGCCGAUAAAACCGCCUGUUCUGAGAGCCAAUGAGAUUCGAACAUUGAUCGGAGAUUCCGAGCUUUUGUCGAGUUUUAUUAUCGGUAUUAUUAUCGGUGCGAUUCUCACAUUGACUGCGAUGUUCGCCUGGUUCAAAUCGAAGAGCAUUCAGAAGCACAACCGCAAGGAAAAAAGGUGUUUCGGUUCGUUAGAAACUCUCAAAGCUCAGUCAAUUCUGUCGAUGAGUGAAAAAAGAUAAAGGUCGAUGGGCUUUGUUACAACGGGUCAAGUGUCCUCUUCGUUGUCUCAUUUAUUCCAGUUAUACGGCAUCGGGUUAUUCCCGAUUCUCUUACGCGGUGAGGUGUACUAAUAAAAUACUGUUAACUAAGAAAGAAACGAAUCUACGCGAGAAAUAUCAUUACGUCAGUCCUUUUUCUAUAAAUAUUUACACAUUCAUUAUUCGUUAUCUUAUAUUAUAGAUAUUCGUGAAUAGUAAGAAAAAGGAAGAAGGGGAUUUUUAUGUACAUUAUCAUUGGCGGAUCGGUGCUCGCGAUAGUAGAAAAAAUUGUUAAACAAUCGUCGAAUCCUCGACGCUACUCGAUUCUAAAAAGCUUCUCUUCUUCCAGGGCACAUGAAAAAUCUUCGUGAAAAACAUCGGAGACGAAAUGUCAAUUCGAUCACACUUUUUUCUUCGUAAUUUUUCACAUUUUGUGUUAUGGCAACACUUCUUCAAUGAUCGAUGCUGCUGAUUUGGAUUUUUCACAGCGAGCUCUCAUUCAUACGAAAAAAAACUGGUUCAAUGUCAACUUUGUCACUGCAGUUCUAUCGCUCAUGAGCUACUGGUAACAAGAUAGUGAAAAAAUCGAUUUUCCUCGGUUCACAGCUCCUGCUACGCUGUACGCUGAUGUUCGCAGCAUCGAAAAUUCGACGAUUAAAAAAGUGUUAAUUUGGCAAAAACAUGUGCCUCGAGCUCCACCCUCGAGAUAGUGGACGCGACGUGACAAAUCAGUCUCCAUUUCGAGAGAAAAUGUAAGUUUUUAUCAAAACGUCACUAAUUGUCAUUCUUCAAGGUUCUCGAUAACAAUCGCUGUUCUGCAUCUCGCCUGAAGAUGAUAUGGAAUACAAAUAGGUACAAGAAAAAUCGAUCAACCCAAUUCGGCCAGAGUUCUCCAUUCUGCUUCUCUUUCUUUUCGCUCAACCAAUGCCACUGUCUUUUUGAGACUCCGGGGGCUUCCAGC
rnacentral:misc_RNA from 1 species